AGAAGCGAAAGUGACGGUACCUGCAGAAGAAGUACCGGCUAACUACGUGCCAGCAGCCGCGGUAAUACGUAGGGUACGAGCGUUGUCCGGAAUUAUUGGGCGUAAAGAGCUCGUAGGUGGUUGGUCACGUCUGCUGUGGAAACGCAACGCUUAACGUUGCGCGUGCAGUGGGUACGGGCUGACUAGAGUGCAGUAGGGGAGUCUGGAAUUCCUGGUGUAGCGGUGAAAUGCGCAGAUAUCAGGAGGAACACCGGUGGCGAAGGCGGGACUCUGGGCUGUAACUGACACUGAGGAGCGAAAGCAUGGGGAGCGAACAGGAUUAGAUACCCUGGUAGUCCAUGCCGUAAACGUUGGGCACUAGGUGUGGGGGACAUUCCACGUUCUCCGCGCCGUAGCUAACGCAUUAAGUGCCCCGCCUGGGGAGUACGGUCGCAAGGCUAAAACUCAAAGGAAUUGACGGGGGCCCGCACAAGCGGCGGAGCAUGCGGAUUAAUUCGAUGCAACGCGAAGAACCUUACCAAGGCUUGACAUACACUGGACCGUUCUGGAAACAGUUCUUCUCUUUGGAGCUGGUGUACAGGUGGUGCAUGGUUGUCGUC
rnacentral:rRNA from 1 species